rnacentral:rRNA from 1 species
UGAGGAAUAUUGGUCAAUGGGCGAGAGCCUGAACCAGCCAAGUAGCGUGCAGGAUGACGGCCCUACGGGUUGUAAACUGCUUUUAUGAAGGAAUAAAGUCACCCACGUGUGGGUGUUUGCAUGUACUUUAUGAAUAAGGACCGGCUAAUUCCGUGCCAGCAGCCGCGGUAAUACGGAAGGUCCGGGCGUUAUCCGGAUUUAUUGGGUUUAAAGGGUGCGCAGGCGGCGCGCCAAGUCAGCGGUCAAAGUUCCGGGCUCAACCCGGUGUCGCCGUUGAAACUGGCGUGCUCGAGUGCGUGCGAGGAAGGCGGAAUGCGUUGUGUAGCGGUGAAAUGCAUAGAUAUGACGCAGAACUCCGAUUGCGAAGGCAGCUUUCCAGCGCGCUACUGACGCUGAGGCACGAAAGCGUGGGGAUCGAACAGGAUUAGAUACCCUGGUAGU